CCUACGGGUGGCAGCAGUGGGGGAUAUUGCACAAUGGGGGAAACCCUGAUGCAGCGACGCCGCGUGAGUGAAGAAGUAUUUCGGUUUGUAAAGCUCUAUUAGCAGGGAAGAAAAAAGACGGUACCUGACUAAAAAGCCCCGGCUAACUACGUUCCAGCAGCCGCGGUAAUACGUAGGGGGGAAGCGUUUUCCGGAUUUACUGGGUGUAAAGGGAGCGUAGACGGGCAGACAAGUCAGAAGUGAAAUUCCCGGGCUCAACCUCGGAACUGCUUUGGAAACUGUAUGGCUGGAGUUCUGGAGAGGUAAGCGGAAUUCCUAGUGUAGCGGUGAAAUGCGUAGAUAUUAGGAGGAACACCAGUGGCGAAGGCGGCUUACUGGACAGUAACUGACGUUGAGGCGCGAAAGCGUGGGGAGCAAACAGGAUUAGAUACCCUUGUAGUC
rnacentral:rRNA from 1 species